UUGACUGAGUGGCGGACGGGUGAGUAACUCGUGGGUAACCUGCCUCACACUGGGGGAUAACAGUUAGAAAUGACUGCUAAUACCGCAUAAGACCACGGAGCUGCAUGGCUCUGAGGUAAAAACUCCGGUGGUGUGAGAUGGACCCGCGUCUGAUUAGCUAGUUGGUAGGGUAACGGCCUACCAAGGCGACGAUCAGUAGCCGACCUGAGAGGGUGACCGGCCACAUUGGGACUGAGACACGGCCCAAACUCCUACGGGAGGUUGCAGUGGGGAAUAUUGCACAAUGGGGGAAACCCUGAUGCAGCAACGCCGCGUGAGUGAAGAAGUAUUUCGGUAUGUAAAGCUCUAUCAGCAGGGAAGAAAAUGACGGUACCUGACUAAGAAGCCCCGGCUAACUACGUGCCAGCAGCCGCGGUAAUACGUAGGGGGCAAGCGUUAUCCGGAUUUACUGGGUGUAAAGGGAGCGUAGACGGUACUGCAAGUCUGGAGUGAAAACCCGGGGCUCAACCCCGGGACUGCUUUGGAAACUGUGGAACUGGAGUGCAGGAGAGGUGAGUGGAAUUCCUAGCGUAGCGGUGAAAUGCGUAGAUAUCAGGAGGACACCAGUGGCCGAAGGCGACUCACUGACUGUAACUGACGUUGAGGCUCGAAAGCGUGGCGAGCAACAGGAUAG
rnacentral:rRNA from 1 species